UACGGGGGGGGCAAGCGUUGUUCGGAAUUACUGGGCGUAAAGGGUUUGUAGGUGGCCUGCUAAGUCAGACGUGAAAUCCCUCAGCUUAACUGGGGAACUGCGUCUGAGACUGGCAGGCUUGAGGACAGGAGAGGAACGCGGAAUUCCAGGUGUAGCGGUGAAAUGCGUAGAUAUCUGGAGGAACACCGGUGGCGAAGGCGGCGUUCUGGACUGCAACUGACACUGAGGAACGAAAGCCAGGGGAGCAAACGGG
rnacentral:rRNA from 1 species